ensembl:lncRNA
CGCGGAUACCGAGGGGAGGGGGGAGAGAGGGAGGGGGUGCUCGAUGCUGCGAAGAAUAAAUAUAUAAAACAUAUCACUAUGAACGCGAUCAGAAGUCCAGCUUUUUCGUAUCUACAAAUUAUUAUCUCGUCGACAAAAAGGAACUAUUACAAAAAAAAAUAACAGAUCCACACAACACAAUGGCACGUUAGCCACGUUAGCUCAACACUGCUAGCCAAACGCUGUUAGCUAAACAAUGUUAGCUUCGUCCGGCAGCAGCAGUUUGGCGCCAAUUCGAGGCUGACAGAAAAACGACCUUAUCAAGACAAGAGACGCGCAUCUCCGCUCGUUCAUUCAGAAGGUAUUUUAGAUGAGAGAAAAUGGAUACAAUCACACAAGAAGAUUACAGUCCAAACACUGAGAGUGAGCUUACUUCACCAUUUCCCCCCAAACGGCCGAGGACAGACUGUACACACAACAACGGUGGCAAAAGCAGUUUUGCAUUUCCGGAACUUGUGACGUUUUGGAAAACCGUCGGCUCCUCAUCAUCGACAAGUACCUGGCAGGAAAAUGCAGGUUUACUACGCGCAGCAGAAGGUGGUGAUAUGGAAGAGCAACUACAAGACGCUCCAUUUAUUGUCAUUCCUAUUGCGAGCUUGACUACGUCACACACUGGAUCGUCUGACGUCAGCUCAAUCUCUGCAGAGAGAUGCUUCAAACUUCUGGUGAGAGAUGAGCAGCCUCCAAUCCCUCCAACCGACAAACUCAGCUCCACCGUGCCAGAUGAUGAAGAUCGGGCUGUAGCAGAGACCUGCACUUCGAAAGAAGGCAACGCUGAUACGUCCAGUCAGCCUGAUAGCAAACUGCUGGGGGAAGCGUGUGAAGACGAGGCGCUUGGAAAUAACAGCGCUGGAGCACUGGUGCAGAAUAGUGCCAGUCAAAUCCAAGCAUUGCAGGUCAGUUCAAGCGACUAUGGGCUCAGAUAUCAGUCUGGUUGCACUUCUGAAAAUGAAAGUAAUCAGGAGUGGCAAGAGCCUGGAUUCACAGAGACUAUCGUAUUCAGCGAGGAAGAUACAGUCUUAUAUCUUUCACUGAUUCUUUCUACUCAAACCCACAACGCUCAGGGAACUUAGCACAGAUUUGUGAAAAUAUUGCUAUAUGUAAGCAGGAAACAGAAGACCAAGUCAAUGAGAAUUGCACGAGCAUGAACUCCCCAUGAACCAGAAGGAUCAAUUGUUUCUUAUGAUGUUGUUUCACUCAGAAACAUUCCAAUUGAGAGGUUGAGUCUUGAUGCUGAUGACUUCUGUGGGGAAAAAGGAGAAGAGGCUGGUGCUAAGAUGAUAGCCCGAGCUCAGAGCAAAACGUCUGAUCACACGACAGGGACUCCCGUGCCUGCACAAAUCUGUCAAGGGCCUGCUGAAGGAGAUAAUGAUGCAAGUCCUUUCGCUGUAAUUGAACCUGCAAUCUGGAGUGAAACUGACAGGGAGGAAGAGAAGAGCUGCAACUCAGGGAGCGCUGCCGCCGGUGUACAAUCACUUCCAUCAGUAAAAGUCUGCACCAUGGAAACCCCUCUCCCCCUCUGCGCCCACGUCCGGCUAUCAAAGGAGGUUUUAACCCUCAACCAGAAUGGAAAGUCAGAUCACCAAAGCCUUACGCAGCAGCGCGAAGAUGGAAAAGAGGACUUAUGUCAGUCAUUCACUGAACCACUGGCUGGUUCUAUCACCACCAACGAAACACACAACAACAGCAGCUGUCACGGGGAAACCGGAGUCAGCCAUGAUACUGUGGGGCAUCAGUUGAAAGAGUCAGAUCGGUCCGGCUGUUUUCAUGUCAGUCCUGAACGAAUGAAGACAAAGGAGGUUGAAUAUUUACAGGCUGAAAUCACCAGAACGGACGGGACAACUGAGAUAAAAGAAAACGGAGGAAUGACAAGUUUUGAAGAAGAAAUAAGAACCGGUGAGCAACCAGAAAACUCCCAGGACACAGAAGAAGCAACGGAAACAUCAUCUGGUAAUUCCAUCAGGCACCGGACCGAAGGCAAAACUAGUAAAUAUGACGACAAACUAACACAUGUGGAUGACGCGUUGAAAAAUAUACUUGGAUUUCUGUCUGAUCACCCCUACAAUGCUGUGAUUUUACCAACGGAAGAAGCAGCGGGUGAAGAGGAAAGAAAAGAAGAGGCAAGUGUGGGUGCAGAACGCGACAUGUACGGUAGCUCGGAGAUAGUUGUGGAACGGGAGAAGGAAGACAUGCCUGAGGAAUGGAUCAGUGAACGGACAGAGGGACACAAUUUAACCCUGGGGAGUCAACGUGAACAAGAACACAAGCUCAGUUGUGUCUCGGACUUUCAACACACAGCUGAGACAUACGUGGUUGAUAAUAGAGAUGACCCUUCGACCUUGACUGCCUUCCCCUUCAACGGACGUCUGCCAGGAGGAAUUGACACGUUCGAAAGGAUCCAACUCUCCCUGGAUGGUGAUGAAGACGGCCUGAGCGAGAGCCUUCUCCUCAGCAGCCUACCUGAGCAGCUGCUGACAUCACCUCAGCAACAGCUCCAUAAGCACGAGGAGGUACCGCAGGAGGAAGAGGAGGAAACAUCUGGUCGUCACCCUGAGAACAAGGCAAAGGGCUUUUCAGGCAUCUAUAGCAUGUGUAAUGAAGUCCCCGACUGGAUCUCAGCAGCAGCAGAAGACAUCGCUCUCGUACGUCCAGAGCAACCGGCAAACUGUGGGAGGACUCACAACUCCCCCGAGUGCUUCCAGGGCGACUUCCAGUCCAGUGUUCCCCCCAGCAGCGAGGGUCCAGCCUCUGACGUAGACGACAGUCUGACCUUUGAGAAGAAAGAGCUGUUCAACAAGGUCUUGAAAGAGCUGAACCUGUUUUUUAGCAUCAGCACAAGUGAUUUCACAAGAGACAGCGGUGCAUCGUCCUCUGAGCAGUGUGUUCGUGUGUCUGGAGCCUCGGAUCGAGACAACUGCAAAGAAGAUCUCAGCAUCGCAAAACUAGGAUGCUAUGGAGACCCAUCGCCAGACUCCGGCCUGGAAAUGUGUGCUGGGGAUCCAGAUGUUUCUCCUACCUGUGAAGGCGAGCAGGAGGUUCCCCUCGGCAGCCAUCUGUGCACCGAGGAGACUCACAAAGAGCCCCCGCAGAGGAAGAGAUGGUCUCCGUCCUUCCCGGGUCCCCCUCUCCUGGAACAACUGGGCUACAGACAGCCGGAGCAGACGAGGCGGCUGGAGCCUCUGCGAACAUGCAACCGGCCCAUCCGGGUCGGACUCUCAAAGAGAGCCAAGACCAAACACCUGCACCCCCCGCCCUGCCGGGGGGCUUCGCUGCCUUAAACAGGACGGAGCGACGAGUGAUGGCUGUUCAUGUGUUGUGUUCUCUGCUUCAUCGCUCUCCAGGCUCCGGUUCCUGCUUCUUUAUUCAGGUUAUACGCUAAUAAGCCAGAUGCUGCUGCCAAGUAAGGAAUCCUGCUCUGUGUCCACAUUGUCCCUGCUCAAAGUAGUAUUCUAGUUUUCAUAUCUUCCCCAAUUUUUAUGCACUGAUCUAUUUAUAUAUUUAUGUAUUUAUUGGCUUUCUUUCAACCCAGAUUAGGGUUGAAAAAAGCACAUAUAUGUUAUUAGGGCAAAACUCAAUUCCUAGUUCUUUGAAUUAGUUGUGACGUGUAAUCGUUUGCUCUCUGCUGUAACGUCUUCUCUGUGCAACGUGUUCCGUGGAACGUCACUGCGAGUUGAAUGUGAAAAUAACCAGUUCCCCAUUCAAUUAAAUACUGUACUUGCAUACAAACGUGUUUUUAAUAUAUAUAUAUACACACACAUGACUCUUUUGGCAACACAUGAAUUAACAUCAAUGAGCUGGUUCCAAAUGAACGUCUCCAGUCGCUGCUCGGGCUCCGAGGCGGUCCGGCUGAGCUCCCAGGUGGACGAUGGACUCAGCUGUUGUGGUAAGUGGUAAGAGAGCUAUUUGGUCUACCUCCUGAAUGGGAACGGGGGGGGAGGUUGGUUGUUUAUCCUCACGUGCGCGGGUGAGACAGAUCCAGGGACAGUAGUGAGGAAAACAACAGGACAGCAGCCAUGUCAGUGAACAAUGGAUCCAUGUUCCCUUCACUGGAAGUCCUCUUUGUAAAAGAGCAGAAUGAAAAUGCAGAAAUGACAUCACACGAUUCUUUUAUCUGUAUAACGACUAAUUAGGACUUCUUCCCCUGCUGGAGCCCCGCAGGGUAUUUUACCAAAGCAAUUUGAGUUUGUUGUAUUCACCGAUGUUUCCCACGACUUUGGAAUAACAUUCGUGUCCCGAUCACGUCUGAGAUUUUUCUGGUGUAUAAUUUAGGUUCAGUGAGCAAGUUGCCUCAGCUGGCAGCCCGAUCAAAGGAAACACAGAGGUAUGGCUUUCCAAAAUAAUUGGAUUCUAGUGGAACACUUUGAAUGUGGCUGCAGCCUUGUGGAUUUGAUUCAUCCCCAGUAGAUAAUGGCUCAGUCACUGUUAGUUCUGCCCUGUGUGUUGGCCUGUUUGAAAUGGACAUUUUUUAACCCCUUUAGCUUAAAGCAUACUUCAUUCAACCAUUGGUGAUCAUUUGUAUUCCACUACAAUUGACAUUACUCUAAACACGCCAUGUUGCGUGUACAUCUGGAACAUGUUUCCUCCAUUUGUUGUCUUACUGCACACGCACAUGCCAGUAAUCUUCCGGGUUUUAGUUACAGCUCACUUGAGGUGCAGUGGAGGGUGUCUCCUAUGCACCAUUCUUACAUAACAGUCGCAUUUUCAAACUAUUCCAACAGCAUUAAAGUUAAUGAGCCAUACUAUUAUUACAAGGACGCCUCUGCUGUGUGUUCUUGUCUGCAUACGUGGGCACAUUUCACAGGAGCUUUUGUGAAUUUUGGAAAUACAGCGACUGCUUCUGCUAAUGUAAGAGCGUCUUGUCUACAAUAGAAUGAAUAAUACAUUAGUUUAAGUCAUUUUCAUGAGAUUGAGUAUUUUUUAUAAGUAUGUAGUCUAUUAUUACCAUAUGCUCGUGAAAUGUUUCUGAUGUCUUCCCAUGCAGUCCUUGUUUGACACAUCUGUAGCGCGGGAUGGAGUUCUGCACUCUGCACGUCUACCGCCCUCCUGCAGGGGGGGUCAGUGCCGGUCUGCCUCAGGGAUCCUAAGCAGCUCUUCAAAGGCUUCAAGGCCGUUCCACAGAGACUGCUCUCCUUGCUGUCUCAGAGCAUCUCCACACUGCUAGAGCUCCUGUCUCUCCUCUGUCCUCAUCCUUCUGGACCUCUCUGCUGCAUUUGACACAGUCAACCACCAGAUACUUAUCUCCUCCCUUCAAGAAACUUGGUGUCUCAGGCUCUGCUCUCUCCCUUCUCUCGUCCUACCUCGACGGCCGCACCUACCGGGUAACCUAGCGAGGAUCUGUGUCGGAACCUUGUCAUCUUACUACUGGAGUUCCUCAGGGUUCCGUCCUGGGUCCCCUCCUCUUCUCGCUCUACACCAACUCUCUCGGCGCUGUCAUUCGCUCGCAUGGCUUCUCCAACCACAGCUACGCCGAUGACACCCAACUAAUUCUCCACCAACUCUCCCUGACCCCCAACAUUACAGCAACAAUACGAUCCUUUAGAUACUCGCUCUACAACAUCAGGAGAAUACGUCCUCUCCUCACUCAGAAGGCGGCGCAGAUCUACAGUCUGAGGCCAUUGUUAUAAAGAGAGAGCCAAUGGAGUUAAUGCGUUUUUCCUUUUUUCUCAAAUCCAACGUGGGCGGAUGCGUGGUGGUCCGGUCUGAAUCGCUGCUGCCUGCUCAGAGCCCACGAUGCCUCCAGGAUGCACUCUGUUCGCUAUCGACUUUCUUUACUCAGCCACUUUGUCCAGCAUAUGAUAUGAUCAGUUCAUCCUGGCUGUAAACAUUUCUGGUAGUCGGCCUUGUUGGGACCUUUUGUGUGGAGCAAAUUGCUUUUUGAAAGUUUUGGUUUUUGUUACCUUGUUGGCUACAAAAUAAAAGCCUCCGGCUUUGUUUCAUAUUCACGUCUUUUUGAGAUGCCAAGUAGGCUCCUUGAUGACUGCAGGAGGGACUGAAGCUAAAAGUCUGCCUGUACGUGCUCACUGAUUGGCUACACGCGUUAUACAAAGACUGCUGUGUCCUCACCUUUGCUCCGUCCCACAGUCCCCUGCAGGUGGUCCCGGGGGACAGUGAUGGUGACCAAAGGUUUGACCUCUGCAGGAGAAUUUGUCAAUGCGCUGACCUGAGGUCAGCCGUCUCCGGGCCUGCAGGGUUCGGCUGGUUUGUCACUGAGGGAAUCCUCCAGAAGCAGCCACACGUCCUCAGAAGCAUGUUGAUGUUUUUAGAAUCAACGCACGUCUCGACACAGAGGCUGAUAAACCGCUGUGAAAUACCAGGGAAAAUAGAGACAGUGCUACCGCCACGUUAUAUUAAUACUAUGGAUUGUGAGGUGGGAGACAAAUGUGGUUGAUGACCAGAGAAAGUAUCAACGCACUGAGAACAGAAAAGAGUGGACCGUUCUAAUCUUUGAACAUGUUCAACAGAUCGAUGCGGUUCACACUGUAAUGUGACGUAAUGCAGAGAGUUAAACUGAGAUUUAGAUGUUCCCCUCCUUUUUCCCUCCCUCCUUUUUCCCUCCCUCCUUUUUCCCUCCCUCCUGCCCAGACAGACGACCAGGAGGGAACCGCUGCUGCAAUGCAGCAAAACAAAUUAGUCGAGGACAUCGAUCGAGGGAGCGUCUCCUGGUAUCCUGGGUCCCGGACUGUGAUCUCUACCAGGUGGUUGCUGGCUUGUUACAAAAUGAGCACAAGCAAUUACUUGGCGCCCACAUUAAGUGGCACCGUUUACCACAUCGUUUAAACCACGAAGGCCGUUGGAGGCAAACAGGCACAACUACUAUUGUACGAGCUGCACAGUGAUUAUUCACUCAGUGGGGCAACACGCUUCCGUCUCCGGGCUGCGUUUCAGCGCGUGAGGGAUGGAUGGAGGGUGAGGCACUGUUCAUCUGAGGUUGUCGUGGUCGGUGGUGAAUAAGAGUAGAUGGCACACGGCCUGUUACCAUGGCAACGAGUCCCACGUUGACGGGCGGAGUGAAAUGAAUUCCAGUUAUUCUCUCGUUUUUAACAUGUAAAUUCCUCUCCCUCGUUUUUCCUCGGCUCCUCUUACUCACAUGUAUAUAUAUAUAAUAAUAAUAUAAUAU